AAGCAACAGUUACUCAUUUUGGGCCAAAAACUACAGGCAUGACUGUGCAUGCUUACUGGCAGCUCUCAGACCAUCCCAGCUCAGCUACUGUGUUUGGCUCUCUUCCCCAUGCUCAGCACUGUAAACAAACAAUCGGACAACAAAAGCAUGGGAUUCCUGAUGCUCUUCUAAGUUUGACCACAACCAAAUUGUAGGGUGUACCUGAUUCAGAAGCUCAGCGGCAGCCACGUUUGCAUCCAAGUGGCCCCCACACUUCAACAACACCAGAUUAUCAGAAGCACAAAGAGCACCGGCUUGCAUUUUUUUCUGGCUCAUGGGACAGGAGGGGUUGCAGACAAGGAAUGAGUCCCGUACUCAGGUGACUUCUUGUGAACCAAUCCCCUAAGGAAUAAAGAAGCCAAUCACUGGGUGCACAAUGAAAAAUUUUAUUCAUGACAGGUUUCAAAACAUGGAAAAGAAGACAUAAAUGCACAAAGGCAUCUCACAAAACUGUCACAUAAUAUAAAAACACCAGAACUGAGCUGUUAAAACCAUGGCUCAGGAUUCAUCCAUGUAUCUCAGCAACACAUUCAGUGCCUUAAGGUGAUCCAACUCCUUUUCCGACCUCUGUGGGCUCCUGUAUGCAUAUUCUUAGGCACUGUGCUGUGCUGUGAGUUUUCUGUUAACUCAAAACAAGCUGGAGUCAUUUCGAAAGAGGAAACUGAAAUUAAGAACAUUCUGCAAUCAGAUUAACCCAUGAGCAAGCCACUAAGCAACACUCCUCCAUGAUCUUUGCAUCAGCUCCUGCCUCAAGGUUCCUGCCCAGUUUGAGUUCCUUCCCUGACUUUCCUCAGUGAUGGACUGAUGUGGAACUAAAAGCUGAAACAAACCAUUUCCUGCCCAAGUUGGGUAUUGUUUUAUCACAGACUAGAAACACACACACAAACCACACAUGCACAUGAAAUAAAAUAAAAUAAAAUAAAUAUUA